CUCCGCGCUCGCCGCCCGGCGCCUCACAGCGGCUGGCCUCGUCCGCGCUCCCAGGCAGCCGAGUUCGCUGCCUGCCCCGGCCUGGGGGCUUGCGCUGGGUGGAGGCUGCGCGGGUGGCAGGCGGCGCAGGGCAAAGAGAGCAUCAUCUGCCUGACGCAGGGUGUGCCAUGUACUCCGGUGCAGGUUUUGCUGCCAUGCUUACACUUUGCUCUGGACUGUACAAAACAGCAGGCUUAUUGUGUUGGUUGCUGUUACAUCCUAAUCUUAAAGCUGGGUCUCUACAUUAUCUGAAACCAUGGAUCAGCAGCGAUCAAUCUGUAAUCCCAAAGUCUAAGGAGAAAGGU